CGUGGGUAGUCCCUCCAUAUCGCGAACAAAUCUUUCGCCUUUUACUAAGGAUUUCCGUGUGGGGGGGCUGCGUGCCCUUAAGACACUAAUUUUUUGUGGUCCCCUCCUUACCGCUU